ACUUGGGAAGCUGUGAUUUCCUCUCUUCCUUCUGAGAACCAAGGGCUCUUAAACACAUCUUGGUUCGAAGAAGAAAAUCUCCAGUGGCAGGCUCUCUGGCCAGAGACUUCCUGAUACUAGUGAGAGGAGGAAGCAGGAGCACAAAGAGGAAAAAAGGAUUUGGCUCCAAAAUUCAAACCUUACUUUGAAAGGCGAUUUUGUUCUGUUUCUCCGGGCACCGGGCUGGGCCCGAUUCUUCUUG